GACGAACGCUGGCGGCGUGCUUAACACAUGCAAGUCGAACGGAAAGGCCCUGCUUGCGGGGUACUCGAGUGGCGAACGGGUGAGUAACACGUGGGUGAUCUGCCCUGCACUUCGGGAUAAGCCUGGGAAACUGGGUCUAAUACCGGAUAGGAGCCAUUUUUAGUGUGAUGGUUGGAAAGUUUUUUCGGUGUAGGAUGAGCUCGCGGCCUAUCAGCUUGUUGGUGGGGUAAUGGCCUACCAAGGCGGCGACGGGUAGCCGGCCUGAGAGGGUGGACGGCCACAUUGGGACUGAGAUACGGCCCAGACUCCUACGGGAGGCAGCAGUGGGGAAUAUUGCACAAUGGGCGCAAGCCUGAUGCAGCGACGCCGCGUGGGGGAUGACGGCCUUCGGGUUGUAAACUCCUUUCGCUAGGGACGAAGCUUUUUGUGACGGUACCUAGAUAAGAAGCACCGGCUAACUACGUG
rnacentral:rRNA from 1 species